GUCCACGCCCUAAACGAUGGAUACUAGACGUUGGGGAGCCUAAUCUCCUCGGUGUCGUAGCUAACGCAUUAAGUAUCCCGCCUGGGAAGUACGGUCGCAAGAUUAAAACUCAAAGGAAUUGACGGGGGCCCGCACAAGCGGUGGAACAUGUGGUUUAAUUCGAUGCUACGCGAAAACCUUACCUAGACUUGACAUCCCGCGCUACCCUGGGAAACCAGGGGUUCUCUUCGGAGACGCGGUGACAGGUGCUGCAUGGCUGUCGU
rnacentral:rRNA from 1 species